rnacentral:rRNA from 1 species
GCAUAUCAAUAAGCGGAGGAAAAGAAACUAACUAGGAUUCCCUUAGUAACGGCGAGUGAACCGGGAUGAGCUCAAAUUUGAAAUCUGGCGUCUUUCAGGCGUCCGAGUUGUAAUCUAUAGAGGCGUUUUCCGCGCCGGACCGCGUCCAAGUCUCUUGGAAUAGAGUAUCAAAGAGGGUGACAAUCCCGUACUUGACGCGACAACCGGUGCUCUGUGAUACGUUCUCAACGAGUCGAGUUGUUUGGGAAUGCAGCUCUAAAUGGGUGGUAAAUUCCAUCUAAGGCUAAAUAUUGGCGAGAGACCGAUAGCGAACAAGUACCGUGAGGGAAAGAUGAAAAGCACUUUGGAAAGAGAGUUAAACAGCACGUGAAAUUGUUAAAAGGGAAACGAUUGAAGUCAGUCGUGUGAAAGGUAUUCAGCCGUCUCUGGCGGUGUAUUUGCCUUUCACGGGUCAACAUCAGUUUAGUCCGGUAGAAAAAGGCUGGAGGAAGGUGGCACCCUCGGGUGUGUUAUAGCCUCCUGUCAUAUGUGCCGGAUUAGACUGAGGAACGCAGCUUGCAGCAAUGCCGGGGUUCGCCCACGUACAAGCUUAGGAUGUUGACAUAAUGGCUUUAAACGACCCGUCUUGAAACACGGACC